ACUCAGAUCACGUAAAAUUUUAAUAGUCGAACAGACUAAAUUCCUUAAGCUCCUACACCCAAAAUCCAUUUUAAUUCAACAUCGAGGUCACAAUCCCAAUUAUUAAUAAGAACUUUCUAAUUAUAUUAUGCUGUUAGCCCUAAAGUAACUUAUUAAAUUUAAUAUUUAUAAUUUAAAAAUCUUCUUCUUCAUUUAUUGCCCCAAUAAAAAACUACUUUAGUUGUAAGCUUUUAGGGUCUUCUCGUCCCUAAAAAUUAAAAAAGCAUUUUUACUUUUAAUUAAAAUUCAACACCUUAUAAUAAAACCUUCCCCUAUAGUCACUACCUUUCAUUCCAGUUCCCAGUUAAAAAA
rnacentral:rRNA from 1 species